rnacentral:rRNA from 1 species
UACAGAAUCCCCGAGCGUUACCCGGAUUUAUUGGGCGUAAAGGGUUCGUAGGUGGUAAAGUAAGUUACAAAUUAAACCUCAUCGGCUUAACCUUUGAGCUGUUUGUAAUACUGCUAUACUAAGAGGGCGUUAGAGGCAAACGGAACCGACGGAGUAGGGGUGAAAUCCGUUGAUAUCGUCGGGAACACCAAAUGCGAAGGCAGUUUGCUGGGGCGACCCUGACACUGAGGAACGAAAGCGUGGGGAGCAAAAAGG